rnacentral:rRNA from 1 species
UACGAAGGGGGCUAGCGUUGCUCGGAAUCACUGGGCGUAAAGGGUGCGUAGGCGGGUCUUUAAGUCACGGGUGAAAUCCUGGAGCUCAACUCCAGAACUGCCUUUGAUACUGAAGAUCUUGAGUUCGGGAGAGGUGAGUGGAACUGCGAGUGUAGAGGUGAAAUUCGUAGAUAUUCGCAAGAACACCAGUGGCGAAGGCGGCUCACUGGCCCGAUACUGACGCUGAGGCACGAAAGCGUGGGGAGCAAACAGG